rnacentral:rRNA from 1 species
UAUACGAUGAAGAGUUUGAUCCUGGCUCAGGAUGAACGCUAGCGGCAGGCUUAACACAUGCAAGUCGAGGGGUAUAGUUCUUCGGAACUAGAGACCGGCGCACGGGUGCGUAACGCGUAUGCAAUCUACCUUUUACAGAGGGAUAGCCCAGAGAAAUUUGGAUUAAUACCUCAUAGCAUAGCAGCUUCGCAU